GGAGAAAAUAUAUUUGUCUAUUUUUAUUUAAGUGCUUCACUUUCUCCUUUAUAAGAGAGUGUAGGAGGUCCAAUGAGAUAUUAAUGGCACAUUUGCCAACCCUUUUGUUUUCUUUCACUUAUUUCUUCAUCUUCAUUCACUCACUUCAUUGGUUUUCAAGGUCCAUUGUAUCAAUGAGUGUUCUACCUUGAUAUUAGCUUAACAUCUCAGGAUUUAUAGCAAGUUGCAGUUUCCCUCCAAGAUUUUCAUCACAAUCUAGAGAACCUAAUUGCUGUUGCUUUCAGAUCUGUGAAAAUUAGGUGUCUUGAACAUGAAAUAUAUUAAAGUGAAACAUAAACUGAGAAGUGGUUGAAGAAUGUUUAAUAGGAAGGCGCAGAGUUUCUUCAAAAUGGGAGAAGCCUGGAUUGAUGGCAGUGUUGAUGAUAGGCAGGCAAAAUGGGACAAAGGUGCAUGGCAAUGGCAAUGGCAAUGGCAAUGGCAAUGGCACUUGCUGAAUGCUAUGAACGAUGCCUUCUGCAGUUUGUGUCACUGGGAAGAUCUUUAUGGCAUGCUAUAUACUAAUAUGCAAGGUCAUGCUCAUAUAUAUGGAGCUGCAUACAAUGCACUUAUCCAUCAAUGCUUAAUUCCUCUGACCAACAACAAUGCAGCAUAUCUUUUGCUGCUCUAUGCUUCUUGCUAUUGCUUUUGCCAGGCUGUGACAGAAUCUUAUGCUAAACAAGUUACAUUGACAAAUGGCAAUACAGAUUACAUUGAUGGCUUCUAUGAAAGCUCAUCAAUGAUAAAUGGUCACUAAAUCAAAUCAGCAAACCCUCUUGUACAAGACAAAGAUCUCAAACCAAUAAGCAACUUGUUGUUUCUUCAGACAAAUGUGCUUCAUUGAGGUCUUAUGUUCUUGUACUGCUACUGAAGAGAGUUCCCCUUGGAAACUUCAAAAAUUACUACUGUUUUAAUCAUUUUCUAAAAAGUAAACUUGAUCAUGGCUUUAAGUCUCACUCUCUCUCUUUCAUAUCAUCAAUGUAAUAGUACUCAUGAGCUUUACGUCCAUGUUUUGCUCUUUGCAGUAUAAUGUAAUAAAUUGUAGUUUUAUGUGUUUGUAAUGUAAAAACUACUGGCAGCCAUGGAUGCAAGUGAUGAAUAAAGCCUCAGACCUGUAAAUUCAGGGAGGAAUCCCUAAAGUAAAAAAGAAGGGUCCAAAUAUACAUACAUAGCAAAUGUUGUUAGGAAUAUAUAAAGAUGUACUGUAUAUAUAACUAUUAAAUAAAAUGACAUAGAAGAGAG
rnacentral:lncRNA from 1 species